rnacentral:rRNA from 1 species
AGUCAAUAGAUACCCCGGUAGUCCAUGCCGUAAACGAUGAUUGCUAGGUGUGGGGGGUCUGACCCCUUCCGUGCCGGAGUUAAACACAAAUAAGCAAUCCACCUGGGGAGUACGGCCGCAAGGUUGAAACUCAAAGGAAUUGACGGGGGCCCGCACAAGCAGUGGAGUAUGUGGUUUAAUUCGAAGCAACGCGAAGAACCUUACCAGGUCUUGACAUCCACCGAAUCCUGUAGAGAUACGGGAGUGCCCUUCGGGGAACGGUGAGACAGGUGGUGCAUGGUUGUCGUCAGCUCGUGUCGUGAGAUGUUGGGUUAAGUCCCGCAACGAGCGCAACCCUUGUGAAUAGUUGCUACGAAAGAGCACUCUAUUCAGACCGCCGUUGACAAAACGGAGGAAGUGGGGAUGACGUCAAAUCAUCAUGCCCCUUAUGACCUGGGCUACACACGUACUACAAUGGUCGUCAACAGAGGGAAGCAAGACCGCGAGGUGGAGCGAACCCCUAAAACGAUCUCAGUUCAGAUUGCAGACUGAAACUCG